AUUUAGUGCUAAGGGCAUUUGAUACAUAUCUUUUUGAACCUCUCCCAAUACUCAUACAGAGACUCGCCUGAAUGUUGUUUGAUACCGCAGAUCUCCUUUCUCAGACU